rnacentral:rRNA from 1 species
CUACGGGCGGCUGCAGUGGGGAAUAUUGCGCAAUGGGGGAAACCCUGACGCAGCGACGCCGCGUGCGGGACGAAGGCCUUCGGGUCGUAAACCGCUGUCAGGAGGGAAGAAACCUGUCGGUUCGAAUAGGGCCGGCAAUUGACGGUACCUCCAGAGGAAGCACCGGCUAACUCCGUGCCAGCAGCCGCGGUAAUACGGAGGGUGCAAGCGUUAAGCGGAAUCACUGGGCGUAAAGCGUGCGUAGGCGGUUCAUCAAGUCAGGUGUGAAAUCCCUCGGCUCAACCGAGGAACUGCACUUGAAACUGAUGGACUAGAGUUCUGGAGAGGGUGGCGGAAUUCCCGGUGUAGGAGUGAAAUCCGUAGAUAUCGGGAGGAACACCAGUGGCGAAGGCGGCCACCUGGACAGUAACUGACGCUGAGGUACGAAAGCGUGGGGAGCAAACAGGAUUAGAUACCCGAGUAGUC